GAAGGAAGGACUUCCCAAAGGUAGAAAGAGGGUUUAGCUUGGUGCUGGCAUUGAACUGAGACUCUAAGUAUGCUAAGCACGUACUCUACCACUGAACUAAAAUUCCAACCCAGAAAAGAGUUUUGAAGAGUCGGGGGAUUGGGGCAGGAUUUGACUUUGGUCAAUGCCCUGGUUGACAUUCUGGGAGGUCUUGUCAUAGGAGAACGGUCAAAGGUAAAAACGAAGAUGAUAAUAAUUUUUUUUUGAAAAGUGGAAAAAAUGAAGCAGAAAUAAGAUUGGAAGGAAAAGAAAGCCUGGGAAGCUGCCUCAAACACCAAAAUAAUCCCCAAAUGAAUUUCUUACAUAUCCCUGCUUUGAAAGAUGAAGCAAGCACAGUACAUUCAAUUCUGUCUACUGGGGUGAAUGACAAUUCUCCAGAAGAAGGAACACCUGGGGGCAGUUUCAGGCACAGAAGAGAAAGGAGCAGAGCCUGUGACAGCAGGAGGAAGAUACAUCAGGAGGAGCUGCACCUCAAUCUCUCUGCCUCUGUUUCCCUUCUUCCCUCCCAGGGCUGAGAGCAAGAGGAAAGAACCUGAUAAUGAAGGCAGUUAAAGGCAGAGGGUAGCUGUGUGGGCAAGUCUGGAGGAUUUUCAGGGCUGAGCCUCUUUCCUCCUCUUGUGGAGGAUAAUUGUGUGUGGUGGUGGUGGGGGGGAGGGUACAGACAGACAGUCCCCUAGAUGCAUGA